AGCUUAUGUAUCACGAGCAAAGAUGUGGGUAGCCUGAUUUCACAUCAUUGUUAUUGUCGUCUUCUUUCUCAUCUUCCUCUCUCUAUACCACAAUUUGUCACCAUCUUUUUUGAAUUGCUUCAUUAAGAUAACAAUUUUUUGUGAGGGAUCACAUGUGCAAAAAGAGUAAAUCAGCGUCUUCUAUAUAUUGUUUGGGCGCCUGCAGUCAUGUUGAUGCUGAAUGUGCUCUACCAAAGUGCUUUUGGAAUUUUAUUCAUCACCUGCAAUCUCCUGGGCUGUAGUUUGUUUUAUUCAUGCUUCUUUGGAUCCAAGCUACAGUAGUCUGACAUAACAUAUGGCAUUCUCUAUGUCUUUUGUUAAUAAUAUGCUAAGGUGUUUCUUCACAAUACACAUAGUAGUGAUUUGUUCAAACCAAAUCAGUUACAUCACUUGCAUUGUUGUUUCUUUGCAGCAUGGAUUCACUGGUCAUCAAAGA
rnacentral:misc_RNA from 1 species